CAGCCGCCGCGGUAAUACGGAGGAUCCAAGCGUUAUCCGGAUUUAUUGGGUUUAAAGGGUGCGUAGGUGGCCUGUUAAGUCAGGGGUGGAAGACGGUAGCUUAACUAUCGCAGUGCCCUUGAUACUGAUGGGCUUGAAUGAACUAGAGGUAGGCGGAAUGUGACAAGUAGCGGUGAAAUGCAUAGAUAUGUCACAGAACACCAACGGCGAAAGCACUCUGCUGGGCCGACACUGACACUGAGAGACGAAAGCUAGGGGAGCAAAUGGGAUUAGAUACCCGAGUAGUCCCUGUCUCUUAUAC
rnacentral:rRNA from 1 species